rnacentral:tRNA from 1 species
GGUUGUAGCUCAGUGGUAGAGCACUUGAUGCACAAACAUGAGGCACUGGGUUCAAUCCUCAGCACCA